rnacentral:rRNA from 1 species
GACGAACGCUGGCGGCGUGCUUAACACAUGCAAGUCGAACGAAGUGGCGAACGGGUGAGUAACGCGUAAACAACCUGCUCUUCAGAGGGGGACAACAGUUGGAAACGACUGCUAAUACCGCAUACUGAAGGUGGGGCUUGCGUCCGCUUAGCGAGUUGGGGGGGUAACGGCCAACCAAGGCGAUGAUCAGUAGCCGGGCUGAGAGGAUGAUCAGUCACACUGGAACUGAGACACGGUCCAGACUCCUACGGGAGGCAGCAGUGGGGAAUAUUGGGCAAUGGGCGAAAGCCUGAUCCAGCCAUGCCGCGUGAGUGAAGAAGGUCUUCGGAUUGUAAAGCUCUGUUAGUAGGGAGGCGGUACCUACAGAAUAAGCACCGGCUAACUUCGUGCCAGCAGCCGCGGUAAUAC